rnacentral:rRNA from 1 species
UAGCUGUCACUUAUAGAUGGGCCCGCGGCGCAUUAGCUAGUUGGUGAGGUAAUGGCUCACCAAGGCGACGAUGCGUAGCCGACCUGAGAGGGUGAUCGGCCACACUGGGACUGAGACACGGCCCAGACUCCUACGGGAGGCAGCAGUAGGGAAUCUUCCGCAAUGGACGAAAGUCUGACGGAGCAACGCCGCGUGAACGAAGAAGGCCUUCGGGUCGUAAAGUUCUGUUGUUAGGGAAGAACAAGUACCAGAGUAACUGCUGGUACCUUGACGGUACCUAACCAGAAAGCCACGGCUAACUA